AACGCUGGCGGCGUGCUUAACACAUGCAAGUCGAACGGAUUUAGCGUAGCAAUAUGCUAAGUUAGUGGCGAACGGGUGAGUAACACGUGACCAAUCUGCCCCGGACUGGGGAAUAACGGAGGGAAACUUCCGCUAAUACCGCAUAUUGAGCGUGGACUGCAUAGUCCGUGCUUGAAAGCUUCGGCGGUCCGGGAUGAGGUCGCGCCCCAUUAGCUUGUUGGCGGGUAACGGCCCACCAAGGCUGCGAUGGGUAGCUGGUCUGAGAGGACGAUCAGCCACACUGGGACUGAGAUACGGCCCAGACUCCUAUGGGAGGCAGCAGUGAGGAAUAUUGCGCAAUGGACGAAAGUCUGACGCAGCAACGCCGCGUGAGGGAUGAAGGUGCUUUGCAUUGUAAACCUCUGUAGAGAGGGACGAAUCGCCCGGUCAUCCGGGCAUUGACGGUACCUCUAAAGUAAGCACCGGCUAACUCCGUGCCAGCCGCCGC
rnacentral:rRNA from 1 species